rnacentral:rRNA from 1 species
CCUACGGGAGGCUGCAGUGAGGAAUAUUGGUCAAUGGGCGCGAGCCUGAACCAGCCAAGUCGCGUGAGGGAAGACGGCCCUACGGGUUGUAAACCUCUUUUGCCGGGGAGCAACGGGCGCCACGUGUGGCGCCACUGAGAGUACCCGGAGAAAAAGCAUCGGCUAACUCCGUGCCAGCAGCCGCGGUAAUACGGAGGAUGCGAGCGUUAUCCGGAUUUAUUGGGUUUAAAGGGUGCGUAGGCGGAGCGUAAAGUCGGUGGUAAAAUUGAGGGGCUCAACCCCUUCCCGCCAUUGAAACUGGCGCGCGUGAGUGGAAGAGAAGUAUGCGGAAUGCGUGGUGUAGCGGUGAAAUGCAUAGAUAGCACGCAGAACCCCGAUUGCGAAGGCAGCAUGCCGGCUUCCGACUGACGCUGAAGCACGAAGGCGUGGAGAUCGAACAGGAUUAGAUACCCGAGUAGUC